rnacentral:rRNA from 1 species
UACGGAGGGGGCUAGCGUUGUUCGGAAUUACUGGGCGUAAAGCGCACGUAGGCGGCUUUGCAAGUUAGAGGUGAAAGCCCGGGGCUCAACUCCGGAAUUGCCUUUAAAACUGCAUCGCUAGAAUUGUGGAGAGGUAAGUGGAAUUCCGAGUGUAGAGGUGAAAUUCGUAGAUAUUCGGAAGAACACCAGUGGCGAAGGCGACUUACUGGACACAUAUUGACGCUGAUGCGCGAAAGCGUGGGGAGCGAUCCGG